rnacentral:rRNA from 1 species
CCUACGGGAGGCAGCAGUAAGGAAUAUUGCGCAAUGGGCGAAAGCCUGACGCAGCGACGCCGCGUGGGGGAUGAAGGUCUUCGGAUUGUAAACCCCUUUCGGGAGGGAAGAUGGAGCGAGCAAUCGUUCGGACGGUACCUCCAGAAGCAGCCACGGCCAACUUCGUGCCAGCAGCCGCGGUAAUACGAAGGUGGCAAGCGUUGUUCGGAUUCACUGGGCGUACAGGGUGUGUAGGCGGUUUGGUAAGCCUUCUGUUAAAGCUUCGGGCCCAACCCGGAAAGCGCAGAGGGUACUGCCAGGCUAGAGGGUGGGAGAGGAGCGCGGAAUUCCCGGUGUAGCGGUGAAAUGCGUAGAGAUCGGGAGGAAGGCCGGUGGCGAAGGCGGCGCUCUGGAACAUACCUGACGCUGAGACACGAAAGCGUGGGGAGCAAACAGGAUUAGAUACCCUGGUAGUCCACGCCCUAAACUAUGGAUACUAAGUGUCGGCGGGUUACCGCCGGUGCCGCAGCUAACGCAUUAAGUAUCCCGCCUGGGAAGUACGGCCGCAAGGUUGAAACUCAAAUGAAUUGACGGA